AGAGAGAGAAGGACCUGGCUACUUGGGAGCUGAGCAGCGUACAAAGAGUGGAGUAGGGCUGGGGAGCUCUAGUCUGGAAAACUCCAGACUGUAGGCCUUGCUAUAGGCCAGGAAAGGCAGAAUGAAGGGCAGUCCUGUUUCCCUUCCCCCAAAAAGGACUUGUCAGGGACAUCCAGUUAUAUUUGCAUGUUAUCAUCGGUUGGCAAAUGUGAACCUGCCAGAUAGAGUAUUGAUCCUAAGCAACAUCUGAGGCAUUUAUGGCUCACAUGCCUAUAUGAGUCAUUUGGAAAGCUGCAACCUGGUCAUCAUGUCACGCGUCUGCCUUUCACUGUGUGAUCUCUCAGCAAUCUAGAGAUGAUGGUAAAUUUGGGCAAGUAGUUCUCCAAUCCCUGUUCAAGAAGAUUCCAAACCCAUCUCCAGGUGGGACUGCUUGUGAGUCACCUACACUGAAAUGGCCAUGUGCAAUCACUCGAAGAAGAAAAAAAUUGUUACUAACCUUUCUGCAACUGCUGUUCUUCAACAUGGGUUACGCCAUUCCAUCACCCACCCUCCUUCUAUUCUUUACUGCAAUUUUUCUGGGAGGAAGGAACUGAAGGGAGUCAGGCUGGCUCGGCCCCUUAUGCCUGUGCACGGGGUGCAAAGCAGCAGAGGGCACUCAUGCUGCCCCGAUGGAUACCUCUAAGAGGAAAAACUCUCUAACAACCGUUCACUGGACCACAGAAACACUCACAGAGGGAAGACAUGUGCAACACCUCUUGAAGAACAACAGUUAGAGAAAGGUUAGUAACCAUUUUUUACUUAAUUAAAUAAUUCAGUUUAAACUGAACCCUGACUACUUCAGUACAUUUCCUUGCUAGUUGCAAAUUCUGGGUAUGAUCCCCCACCCUUUAAAUAGUACUUACUUACACAAGCAAUGCCAUUGAUUUCAAGAGGUCUACUUGUGUGCGUAGGGUGACUGCUCAGUAACGAAGAGUUUCCAAUCAAGUCCUCGUACUCCAUACAACCAAGCUUCUU